rnacentral:misc_RNA from 1 species
UAAUCCUCCAUCAAGAUUGUCCUGGAAAUUACAACAUAUUAACACUUUAAAUUAAUUAUUGUUAUAAUUCUACUAUUAAUCAACAUGUAGUUCCCAAUAAGUAUAAAAUGAGGUGGUAACCUAGGGAAGAGAGAUGCAAAGAAUUAUGCCUUAUUGCUUGAUUAUGCCUUGCAUUUUAAGGCAGAACUUCACCAUUAAACUAUUUAUCUAAUGAAAAAAUAAUUUAAAUGAUUUAUCAAUUCUAUAAUAUAUUUGCGGGAGAAAAGCACCUAAAUCUUCAUGUAAAAAGCUCAUUUACCUCUAUGGCUUGAAGCCUACCUACCUAUAAUCUUCAUUUCUAUCAUCCAAGACACAAGCUAGACACAGGCGGGGCGCUUUUUUUUUUUUUUUAAUAAGCAAGUAAUAAGAUAUGAUUAUAGAUGUUCUCAUUGCUUGAUCUUGUGAUAAAAUAUACCAUUUCAACAACCAUCAAAGUCCUUUUGUUUUCUUUAUGCUCAAGAAAGUCCAAGGCAAAUUGACAGCAAAACUACUACAUGUAAUUUGUGUAAACUUUCUCAGGAAAUAAGAAGCUUUGCUGAACUUCGACUGCAAGUUCCUCCACACUUAACUGACAUUCCAGCCCUAUCUGCAACAACAAAUCAUAUUUAUAACCAAAGGUACGUAAGAUACAACUAUUUCAUCAACCUGCAGUUACUAUACUAUUAAAGAAAAGAAACCAUGCAUUAUUACUAACAAGAAAAUUCCUAUAAACGUUUUACGGAGAAGUGGUGAAAUAAUUAAUGUUGUGCACUUGAGACGUACAGAGGACCUUGUCAGUGUACGUGUUGGCUAGGCAAUUAAGUGUAGGGUCUACCAAUGAAAGUGAGCCUGACAAGUACUUCUCCACAGAAUCUUCAUCAAAGUGAAAAUGACAUCGAGAACGAAGAAUUAGGCAUCAAGAACUACAAGAAUCUCCUUUAAGAUAAUAUAUAGGGUGGAUUACUUUUAGUCUCACUCAAAAUUCUCCAACGAAUUUACACUAGUAAUAAGCACUUUAUUAGCUUAGGUUUAUAAUGAAAGUGUUAUGUAAUAGAAUAGUGGCACAGUAUACCUUGACGACAAAGGAGUAGAGAACAGUGUCUUCCAUGCUACUUAUGUUCAGAUGAAGGACCUCAAAGGAAAGUUUUUCCAAGAUAUUGAUUAUCCUCACAAUUUGACCUGGCAUUGGCCUCGAUAAUAUUUUCAAGAUCACGUUUGAUCCCGAAAUCUUUGCUUCCACAUCCGCAACUGAAGAGUUGCAGCAUGCAGUUAGUUCCUUAACAUUUUCUUGCCCAGAGGGGCUCUGAUCAGGCUGAAGAGUAAUUAGCUGCAGUGGCCUAGGGCUAGGGCUAGGACAAGGACCAGGACUAGGGCUUAAACUAUUCCUUCGUUUCUUGGAUUCCAGAGCUUGCAGAACUUGAUGCAACUCUUCUAUGAACUCUAUAACACCCCCGAUUAUAGAUGCUUGGUCCCCCCUUUUGAUAUAGAAACAAGGGGUCAAGGAACGUAAGACUUUGAGAUGCUCACUCAUCUGUCUUCUCCGGUUUCUUUCUAUAGUUAUGUGAGACAUCUUUCUGGUUCAAAACAAGACUAUAUAUAUA